AAAUUAUGUUAAUGGAUUCAAAGGUUGUAAAUCACAUUGUAUUUCUCUACACUUGAAGUACCACACAUCAUGAAAGUUGAGUUUCGUAAAAAAUGGCGAUCUUCAAGUGUCAUUAAGCUCAGGGCAAAAUCCAAUCGAAAACACCUUUGAAAUUGUUACAAUGAUUAAAUAGAAGUCUUUUCAUCGAUCAUGGUAAAUCAUAGGAAACCUCUUUAGGUAUUCAUAAAAAAUAGCUACUUUACUUGGAAUUCUUUGAAUUGGCUAAUAUUCACUAACCGGAUUUUGCCAGCCUUUGGUUCUUUUGAAAUUGAACACUUGAUCGCCAUUUGAAAUUGUAUAAAAGAAUUAAAAUGUUGUCACUGAAACAUUAUGAGAAUUGAGCUAGAAACAUGAAGUUCAUUUUGGGAUUCCUUAUCAUUUUUUCCAUUGGCGUAAUUGGAACACGGUCUGCAACCACCGACCAAGACGCUGAGCCUCUGGCUGAGGAAAGACAAGGCUUCACUGAUGAAGGUGGUGCAUAUAGCUUUUACUUCAAUGACUGCACUCGCCAAUUUUGUCCGACGUACAAGCAUCGUUGUUGUUGUGAGGGGGCGUUAAUGGGAAGCGAACUCUGUUGUAAGAUCGAAACCAAUUCCCAACCCUGCUCUUUGUAUACAUGUCAAAGAGGAUAUUGGCAAUGUGCUCAAGGUUGUUGAAUGGUAUUCUUUGGUUGAUAUCGACACUUGCAAGAUUAUGGAUACGAAAUUGAGAGCUGUAUGUGACAAAGCAGCCCUCUUUCAAUUGGAAACAUGCAUCGGAACAAAGGGUCAAAACUAAUAUUCGCUGAUUGGAAUACAAAAUAAACUUACCCCGUCAUUCUUUGGAA